UUUUUUUUUUUUUUUUUUUUUUUUUUUUAAAUAAACAAUUUCAUUUGAAGAUUAAUUUUGUAGAGUUGCUUUUUUCUUUUUAUGUGGCACCACAAUCUGACAGUUUAUGCGUUAUUUUUUUGUCUUAGGUAAUAUUUUUUUUAGCUUUUUUUUUAAAAAUAAUAUUCCAAUCUCGCUGUUGUAGUGAGACGAUCAUAGUCUUAAUUUCAAAACUAAACCAAAAUAAAUUGAACAUUGGCUAGAAUGUUAUAGACUUUAAAUAUUUUCUGUUUAUAUCUGUGUAUUUCUAAGCUUACACACCAUUUUUUGAGUUUGAACUUUGCUAAUAGUUACUAACAUUUGUCCUACCUGUCUUUGUUGUUCUUUUUUUAUUUAUUUAAGUAGUAUUUACUCUCCGCAUAGUUGGUUAGCCAUGUUUUUGUGUUUUUAUUCUGCCAUUUUGUGUGAUUUGAAUGAGUCUUGUUAUAUUUAUAUAUAUAAAUAUUGUUCAUUCUUUGAGGCUGUAUGUUUGAUAUUUUAAGUUGUAAACACAUUCUUGACUAGUUUGUUAUUUAUCAAUCUUUAACGCCUUGUCUAGGUUUUUUUUUUUUUUUUUUCAUCCAAAAUAAAACUGAAGGAAAAUGAU